GAUGAACGCUCGCUACAGGCUUAACACAUGCAAGUCGAGGGGCAGCAUGGUCUUAGCUUGCUAAGGCCGAUGGCGACCGGCGCACGGGUGAGUAACACGUAUCCAACCUGCCGUCUACUCUUGGACAGCCUUCUGAAAGGAAGAUUAAUACAAGAUGGCAUCAUGAGUCCGCAUGUUCACAUGAUUAAAGGUAUUCCGGUAGACGAUGGGGAUGCGUUCCAUUAGAUAGUAGGCGGGGUAACGGCCCACCUAGUCUUCGAUGGAUAGGGGUUCUGAGAGGAAGGUCCCCCACAUUGGAACUGAGACACGGUCCAAACUCCUACGGGAGGCAGCAGUGAGGAAUAUUGGUCAAUGGGCGAGAGCCUGAACCAGCCAAGUAGCGUGAAGGAGGACUGCCCUAUGGGUUGUAAACUUCUUUUAUAAAGGAAUAAAGUCGGGUAUGGAUACCCGUUUGCAUGUACUUUAUGAAUAAGGAUCGGCUAACUCCGUG
rnacentral:rRNA from 1 species